rnacentral:rRNA from 1 species
AGUGAACGCUGGCGGUAGGCCUAACACAUGCAAGUCGAACGGCAGCACAGUAAGAGCUUGCUCUUACGGGUGGCGAGUGGCGGACGGGUGAGGAAUACAUCGGAAUCUACUUUUUCGUGGGGGAUAACGUAGGGACACUUACGCUAAUACCGCAUACGACCUACGGGUGAAAGCAAGGGAUCUUCGGACCUUUCGCGAUUGAAUGAGCCGAUGUCGGAUUAGCUAGUUGGCGGGGUAAAGGCCCACCAAGGCGACGAUCCGUAGCUGGUCUGAGAGGAUGAUCAGCCACACUGGAACUGAGACACGGUCCAGACUCCUACGGGAGGCAGCAGUGGGGAAUAUUGGACAAUGGGCGCAAGCCUGAUCCAGCCAUACCGCGUGGGUGAAGAAGGCCUUCGGGUUGUAAAGCCCUUUUGUUGGGAAAGAAAAGCAGCAGGUUAAUACCCCGCUGUUCUGACGGUACCCAAAGAAUAAGCACCGGCUAACUUCGUG